AGAGUUUGAUCCUGGCUCAGAACGAACGCUGGCGGCGUGCUUAACACAUGCAAGUCGAACGAGAAAAUCCUGGCUUGCCAGGAUGAGUAAAGUGGCGCACGGGUGAGUAACACGUGAGUAAUCUGCCCCUAAGUUAGGAAUAACAUUGCGAAAGCGAUGCUAAUACCUGGUAAGCCCACGACUUCUUCGGUAGAUGUGGGAAAAGGUGGCCUCUGACAUAAGCUAUCACUUAGGGAUGAGCUCGCGGACCAUUAGCUUGUUGGUAGGGUAAUGGCCUACCAAGGCGAUGAUGGUUAGCUGGCCUGAGAGGGUGGCCAGCCACACUGGAACUGAGACACGGUCCAGACUCCUACGGGAGGCAGCAGUGGGGAAUCUUGCGCAAUGGGGGAAACCCUGACGCAGCAACGCCGCGUGAGUGACGAAGGCCUUCGGGUCGUAAAGCUCUGUCAGAUGGAAAGAAUUAGUUCGCUGAAAAUAUUGGCGAGUGAUGACGGUACCAUCAGAGGAAGCACCGGCUAACUCCGUGCCAGCAGCCGCGGUAAUACGGAGGGUGCAAGCGUUGUUCGGAAUUAUUGGGCGUAAAGCGCGUGUAGGCGGGAAGGCAGGUCAGGUGUGAAAUCCCUUGGCUUAACCAAGGAACUGCAUCUGAAACCAUUUUCCUCGAGUACGAUAGGGGAGGGCGGAAUUCCCAGUGUAGAGGUGAAAUUCAUAGAUAUUGGGAGGAACACCAGUGGCGAAGGCGACCCUCUGGAUCGAUACUGACGCUGAGACGCGAAAGCGUGGGUAGCAAACAGGAUUAG
rnacentral:rRNA from 1 species